CGAAGGGGCUAGCGUUGUUCGGAAUCACUGGGCGUAAAGCGCACGUAGGCGGACAUUUAAGUCAGGGUGAAAGCCUGGAGCUCAACUCCAGAACUGCCCUUGAUACUGGGUGUCUCGAGUCCGGAAGAGGUAAGUGGAACUGCGAGUGUAGAGGUGAAAUUCGUAGAUAUUCGCAAGAACACCAGUGGCGAAGGCGGCUUACUGGUCCGGUACUGACGCUGAGGUGCGAAAGCGUGGGGAGCAAACAGGAUU
rnacentral:rRNA from 1 species